GGGCCCGUAGCUCAGAGGCAGAGCGAGGGCAUCCCCCCUCGAGCCCGGCUGAUAACCGGGAGGUCGCCGGUUCGAUCCCGGCCGGGCCCACCA
rnacentral:tRNA from 1 species